UGCCAGACUCCUACGGGAGGCAGCAGUGGGGAAUAUUGCACAAUGGGGGAAACCCUGAUGCAGCGACGCCGCGUGAGCGAUGAAGUAUUUCGGUAUGUAAAGCUCUAUCAGCAGGGAAGAAGAUGACGGUACCUGACUAAGAAGCCCCGGCUAACUACGUGCCAGCAGCCGCGGUAAUACGUAGGGGGCAAGCGUUAUCCGGAUUUACUGGGUGUAAAGGGAGCGUAGACGGCGGCGCAAGCCAGAUGUGAAAGCCCGGGGCUCAACUCCGGGACUGCAUUUGGAACUGUAUGGCUGGAGUGUCGGAGAGGCAGGCGGAAUUCCUAGUGUAGCGGUGAAAUGCGUAGAUAUUAGGAGGAACACCAGUGGCGAAGGCGGCCUGCUGGACGAUGACUGACGUUGAGGCUCGAAAGCGUGGGGAGCAAACAGGAUUAGAUACCCCAGUAU
rnacentral:rRNA from 1 species